rnacentral:lncRNA from 1 species
UGAUUCAAUUAAACAGAUUUCCAUCAAAUUUGACAGUCCAAAAUCAAUUACAAUAAUAUGAGUUCAUUUGUCACAACCUACAUCUAGCUGUGAGAUACUUGAUAGAGAAAUGAAUUCCUACUAGGUUCAAACCACAUACAGUUCUUAGAAAAGUAAUACGAAACAUCCAGAAAAGUGCAAUACACCAUACAACUCAAAUAAUGUAUUUAAAGCAAAUAAAACUAAACUAUGAACAAAAGGAGGGAAAACAGAUUGACACUAUGUUCCAGGGCUCCAGGUUUCCAUUUCAACUUCAAGUCAAGCUUUACAUUAGGUAGAUCUACGAAAUGUGUACCUGGAAAUGAAAAGGAAGAUGGAACUGAGGCAACAAUAAACAGCCACAACUUAGCAAUCAACAACAACAAAAAUCCAUUUUUAAAACUCAAAUGGAACCGAAUAUCAUCCAGAAAAUGACAAAUUCCAGAACUAGCAGCAGAAACCUCAAUGUAACAGUGUUUUCCAAUUAAAUACACUUAAUCCAUCUUUAACAUGACUGAAUUUCAACCUAUUUCAACCCCAAAAUAACUCAAAGUUACUUCAGAGACUAAAAACUUCAACAAAAACCGGCAAAGAAACCAACUGAACAGUAUUUUAUGAGAAGUUUCAGUCGCCCCUUUUAUUCCUGGAUUUUUUAGCCCUUCAAAAUUUGAAUCUAGCUCCAAGUAACAAUUCCUUUAUAGGCAAGUUAUUAGGGCAGCAAAUAUAAGGUAGGUUUUGCCCUUGAGCCCUUUUUCAACUUUUAAUUUUGCUUUUUAGUCCCUAAAUUUUUUACUUGCUUGCCAAGCAAGUCUGUUUUUGCCAGCUUUUUAGAAGCUUUUUAUAGCAGUUACUGCAAAAUUCUCUAAGUACAUUACCCUAAUUACCCCUAAGUGCCCUGUUUUUUCUUACUGUAGCAUACCUCAUGGGUCAAGUAGACACAAGGUCCAGCCCCAAACCAGACUGAAUUUCCAUUCUUUUGGGCUUUUUUAAAUGAUCAGAAACCAUAAACAAUACAGUAAUUUCCAAUCCAGAACUUAUACCAGCAGGAAUUGCAAAACAAGCAAAUUAAUAAUAAGUAGAAAAUGGAAACAGGUGAGUAAUUCCAAAACACCUAUCAAAUUAACAUGCUGGAUUGAUAUUAAAAUUAAACUAACGAUUCAACACCAAACUACCUAAACUAAUUAUCAGAAAUGUCAUAGCUUAGAUAAAAAUCACAUAGAUAUAGUAAAACACUAACUAAGUAAAAGAAAAAAUUAAAAAGACGGAGAAGAAACAAACACACACGCAUACCAAACAAAUAGCCUUAGAGGGGAGGGGAAAUUGAAUUCAAAAUAUGGAGAUAGAACAGGAGAAACAAACGAAGCAAAAGGAUGAAUACAAAUAUGAAGAAAGAAAAUGAAACUUACUAGUUUGGACUUCAAAACAGUGGGUGAAUCUGUUUUAAUCUCGAAAUGGUAUAAAUCGUUGAUUCUUUGUGAGGAACGGACGAAAAACACAAUCUCGAGACAAAACAGGCUCCGAACAAUCGGGGAUCUUGGAGGGGUGACCUUGCAUGGAGGAAUUUGAUUUUGACCCUAGGACUCGAAACUUAGAUUUAAGAUUCGAGAGGCUUUGAGGGAAUUUGAAAUAUGCUGAAUGGGUAUUGAGAUUGAAGGGGGAGUGAGGUGGUUGUAGGGUGUGAUUUUGGUAGAGUUUGGUGAUGGCGCUGCCACCAGGUAGGGUUGAGAAUUCGGGGGCGGCUGUCGCUAGGGUUCCAAGGAGACGACUUAGGAGUCNN